UACGGAGGGUGCGAGCGUUGUCCGGAAUCACUGGGCGUAAAGGGCGCGUAGGCGGCCUGAUAAGUAGGGGGUGAAAUCCUGAGGCUUAACCUCAGGGCUGCCUUCUAAACUGUCGGGCUCGAGCACAGUAGAGGCAGGUGGAAUUCCCGGUGUAGCGGUGGAAUGCGUAGAGAUCGGGAAGAACAUUAGUGGCGAAGGCGGCCUGCUGGGCUGUUGCUGACGCUGAGGCGCGACAGCGUGGGGAGCAAACAGG
rnacentral:rRNA from 1 species